rnacentral:misc_RNA from 1 species
UCCACUGAACCUUAUCAUUUAGAGGAAGGAGAAGUCGUAACAAGGUUUCCGUAGGUGAACCUGCGGAAGGAUCAUUGUCGAAGCYUGCCCAGCAGAAUGACCCGCGAAUCUGUGAACGCUCUGGUGGGGGGGCGACGGUUGUGCUUUGUGCGGCUGUCGUCCUCCCCCGUCGGGGAGGCAUGCGCGUGCCCCCAUCCCCCUCGUGGGAGGGCGGUUCGUGGCAGCUCUCCUCYGAYCGGACAACGAACCCCGGGGCGAAAUCGCCCCAAGGAACCUGAAACGUAGACCUUGCUCCCUCUGCCCCGGAAACGGUGUGCGUGGGAAGCAGUGCUGUCUUUUGUAACCAACAACGACUCUCGGCAACGGAUAUCUCGGCUCUCGCAUCGAUGAAGAACGUAGCGAAAUGCGAUACUUGGUGUGAAUUGCAGAAUCCCGUGAACCAUCGAGUCUUUGAACGCAAGUUGCGCCCAAAGCCAUUAGGCCGAGGGCACGUCUGCCUGGGCGUCACGCAACGUCGCCCCCCGAACACGCACGCAUGGUGUGAUGCGACGYGAGGGGGCGGACACUGGCCUCCCGUGUGCAGCAAUGGUUGCGGUUGGCCAAAAAACGAGCCUACGGCGGCGGGCGCCAYGACAAGCGGUGGUUGCGAGACCUUCCGAGUCCAGUUGUGCGCGUUCGUCGACCGACGGGAGCUCUUUGAUGACCCUAACGCAUCGUCCCGACGAUGCUUUCGUAGCGACCCCAGGUCAGGCGGGGCCACCCGCUGAGUUUAAGCAUAUCAAUAA